UACGAAGGGGGCUAGCGUUGCUCGGAAUCACUGGGCGUAAAGGGUGCGUAGGCGGGGCUUUAAGUCAGGGGUGAAAUCCUGGAGCUCAACUCCAGAACUGCCUUUGAUACUGAAGAUCUUGAGUUCGGGAGAGGUGAGUGGAACUGCGAGUGUAGAGGUGAAAUUCGUAGAUAUUCGCAAGAACACCAGUGGCGAAGGCGGCUCACUGGCCCGAUACUGACGCUGAGGCACGAAAGCGUGGGGGGCAAACAGG
rnacentral:rRNA from 1 species